GACUUGCAGGUGGCUCGCCAUGGUUGCAGACCUUGAGUUGCAAUUCUUUGCUGAUCCUGAAUACACCCAUUUUUGUUGGAGAAAUAACUGGCUGUCUAUUUGUUUGAAGUCAACAAGGCUCAGAGGGGGAAAAGUCUAGGAGUUUUCUGGAGAGGAUGGAGACGAGGAACCUUAGGCUUGGAGAGGCUAAGUAAUUGACCCAUGACUACACAGCCAAUGAGGGACCAAGAUUUGAGCCCCUGCAGCCUGAUGUCAGGCUCACUUUCUCUGCCUACUACUUACGUUUCCAGCUGUUUGAUGAGAUGGCCACACACAGAGAGAACUAUACUUUUAAUUCAUAGAGGAACAUUGCCAUCUGGAUGAAAGAUUAUAUUCUGAAGCCUCAAUAAGUGAAUGCAAUCUGCUUCUGAUCUUCUUUUCUGGUAUAGAUGGAAAAGAAUGCAUAUGUCAGAUCAAUGUGACGUACCAUGCACCCAAACCUGCUCCAGCAAAGAUUUCACAUGUGGCCAAGCAGCUGCAAGUGGGGCUGCUACUUGGCUGAAUUUGUGACCAAGAAACCAGGAGUUUCCGGCAACUAGAAGUGUGUCCAUUUCAAUUAUACAUUUGGGGACCAGGAAAAUAGCUGCCAGGUGGAUCACUGGACCUACUGUACCCACUGUGAACUGGAUCUUGGUCAGGACUCCGAUUAUUUCCUGGCUACAUGUGCCUCUACUCUAACAAGGAGCCAUGAUGAUACUUCAGUUUCCGGAUUUCUGUGUGAACUUGGACCCACUCAGGGGGAGUGGAUCUUUACACCUCAUGGGAUGCCACAGGAAGGAGUUACUCUGAGUUGGGAAGGAGAAGAGAAAGGAAGUCGACAUUUGAGUGCCUACUCUGUCCGCAGCAUCAUGCUUGGUGUUUUGUAUGUGUUAUAGCAUUUCAGUUUGGGAACCUUGUUUGCAUUUCUCCAACGUUCACAAUCUUUGAUUUCUCAAUGUCUUCUUUGCUUACGCUUGUCCUUUUGUCUGGAAGGUCUUUCCUUAAUUUGUCUGUCUGUGGAAGCCUUUCUCAUCCAUUUAGAUUUAACUCAGGUACUGUCUCCUUUUGGAGUCCUUGAUCCCUGAAAAAGGGCUGCUGCUUCUCCCAGCACUUUGUGGUUGUCCCUCAAAGCUCUGCUCACAGAUCACACCUGCUGUUUACACUGGAGUCUCCCUUGCUCCUCUCCGAGUUCUGAAAUGGCAGGUUCUGUGCUGUUCCCCUUUGCAUCCUCAGGGUCUGACACAGUCCGUGUCGCCGAGUGGGAGUGCAGUAAAUGUCAGAUGAGGAUUCUCCAGUCUGGAAACAAGUCUCAAGAGCAUCAAAUUCCCUUUCUUUGAGGACUGAGCUCAUGAACCAACUUCUGAUAAAGAAACUCGAUUUCCUAGUUUCUUAAUAACAAGGUGAAAAUGUUCUUAGAGAAAAGCAACAGGCAUUCCUAGUAGCAAAAUUUCACUAGGUAGUUUUCCCUGUAUAUUUUCACUGCAAAAGAAUAAAUCAGCUUUCUAUUUUGUCACUCAGACUGUCGAGAAUAUUUUUUCGAGAGUCAAUCGCUCAGAUCUUGAAUGCUUCUACGUGAAUGGACACAAUCGAAUUUUAGAAGCUGUAAUAAAAGGUGGAGAAUCUGGACUCUACAUACCCAGAGAUCUGUGAUUUCAAAAAAUUCCUGGAAGGCCAAAAAAAACAAAAAUCUAAAGCACAGGAGCCACAAGAAAUUUCUGGAUCUGAAGAGACCGUGUAAUCCGGGACAGUGGGUAUCUCAGCAAUAAUUUAUGAAGACAGAUGACCUCAACAUGACCCUGGAGAGAGGGGCAUCCCUCACCAAGCUGCAGGAUGGGGACUGAGCCAGAAAUUAAAUUUAUUUAUUAAAAAAUGGAUUAUUUUGCACACCUGAGUCAGUGGACAGAGAUUAAUGUCCACUCUAUCCACAUUUCCUGGGGCCAAACAUCUCAGAUCAUUAUGUGCUCAUGAGGAGCCAUAGUUUUAUUUAAUUGCAUUUGUUCAUUUACUAUAAUUUGAUAAUAUUUCCUAUGAGCACACAUUUAAAUAAUUAUUCAACUAAAACAAUGUUUUCAGAGUUGGCCUGGCAAAGGGGCUUUGAAAUCAGAAGACUCCAGUAAUAUAUGAUCCCUCAGCACGAGGUUUAGAUUUGAAUUUCAUCAUGACUUAGCAGAAAUCAGAGCAGAUUUAUUGUGUGUUUUUAACUGUGGGUAAAAUUAUGUGCAGAAAAUGCUUCUUAAAAUCAUGAAAAGUAGUACAAAGUGUCAUUGAGCUCCGGUCAUAGGACACUGGAUCCCAAAUUUUAGAAGAGGACCCCAGAGUUUCCCCUGUGUUUAUAUCUUUGCUUAGGGGUAUUUGAGAUUUCAGUCAUUGUAUUAAGCAUUGAGCUACCUUGAAGAGGAGAAGUUAGAGGGCUGUUCCUGGGAACCGGGACUGUGGCCGGCCCUGGCCUCAAGGCCAAAGCCUUGAUUUCGGAAGGCUGGACUCCUUGUCAUAUGAGCACGGACCUUCCCACCAAGUCAUGAACUUUCUUGGUUUGACUCAAGAUCUGGAGCCACACUGGUGAUGCCUGGCCCCUGGGUACUCACUCUGGGCUCUGAGUUGCUGCUUUCUUGCCCAUGUAGGUGCAUUUUAGUUAGUAUUUGGGAAUCGAUUUUACUAAUGCAGGUCACACUGCAGGCCAGGACAAACCAAUCUCUGGUUUGUUCCCUGUCAACACUCUGCAACAUUUUAGUCAGAGUUGGCAUAGAUGUUGUCUGUGAGUGGCUAAAAAAACCUCUGUGAUUUCUGUCCAUUGAGACUUGCAGCUGCUUGUGAGCCUACCUUGACCAAGGUCCUUCUGCUGCUAUUGCUGUUUUUUUUUUUUUCUUGCUGAGGAAGAUUUGCCCUCAGCUAACAUCUGUUGCCAAUCUUCCUCUUUUUGUAUGUGAGCCGCCACCAUACAACGUGGCCACUGAGAGGUGAGUGGUGGAGGUCCGCACCUGAGAACUGGGCCCGGGCUGCCAAAGUGGAGGGGGGCUGAACUUAAUCACUAGGCCACCGGGGCUGACAGCUCUUGCUGUUUUUAUCAGAUCAUGGUUAUGCCGAGGUGCUUGAAGCCCUGCGUUAGUAGGUUUUUCUUGCUUGUGUGAACCAUAGUUCCUUCGCUUAGACAACUACACAGUGACUGCAGGGGCGUCGUCCACCUUCCAUGCAGGUUUUGCUGGCGGGGCUGGUUGUAGCACACACCCCAGGCCACACAGAAGGUCACCUUGUUGGUGUGGCUUUGUAAGGAGAUCUACAUGUCUAACGCCUGUUUUCUGAGUCCUAUAAAGGCCACUUCUAAGGUAGGCAUGGGUCUGGGAGUUCACCUUUGUGCAGGGAAACAGUGGGAAUUCUGUUAAUCACCAAUGUGAAGGGAGAGACUUAGCUGAUAUUGUUUUAAUUCUGUCUUUGCAGCUGCCUGAAAUUAAGGAUUUUGAACAGACCCGGGGACCGGGGACCUGGAGCCUCUACUCUGCUGAUUGAACCAUGCAUUUUUUUUUUUUUUUAGACAAUCACUGUUGCUUCAGAACCUGAAUCCAUAAUAUUGGGACUUCAGAGGGACUUCUGUCUCUUUUACAUUCUCGUUUCUUUGACCUACAGAUUAAGUUAAAACAGGUGUUUAGUCUUAAUUUUUUCCAACCUUGUCUUGGUAGAUAACAUCACAUAGCAGACGAUCCAAUAAUAUUUCAGAUUCCUUUUUUUUUUUUUUUUGGUGAGGAAGAUUAGCCCUGAACCAGCAUCUGUUGCCACUCCUCCUCUUUUUGCUGAGCAAGAUCGGCCCUGGGUUAACAUCUGUGCCCAUCUUCCUCUACUUUUUAUGUGGGAUGCCUGCCAUAGCAUGGCUUGAUAAGCGGUGCAUAGGUCCAUGCCUGGGAUCCAAACCUGUGAACCCUGCGCUGCCAAACCUGGGCAUGCACUUAACCGCUAUGCCACCGGGCUGACCCCCAGACUCCACUUUUUAAAGAGGGUGUUGGAGGGAGCUGGCCAAUGAGAACGAAGCCUAUGUUCCUGAUGUAACAGUCUUGGCAAAAUGCAUGGGUAGGAGCGAUCCCUUUUCUAGCAAUCAGGAGCAGGGAGUGGUAGGGUUGGGGUGAGGAGGAGGUGAGUCAGGACAGGCUAAAUAAUGCCUGGAAACAAAUUUACAUCACAAUCUCAGUGGCUUAUGAAGUGAAGAAUUAUUUCUUGAUCAUGCCCUGUGUAUUGAGACCCUGAUGCUCUGUGGGGCAGCCCUGUCCCAAGCAGUGAUUUAGGAAUCCCACCUGCUUCUUUCUAAUGUUUCUGUGUGUCAACACAUGGAUUCCAGUCCACCGUGACAGGGGAAGAUAGAGGUGGAGGGUCAUGCUGGAGAUUUUCCCUGCCUUUGCCCAGAAGGGACACAUGGCACCUCUACGUAGAGUUCAUUGGCCAAAAUUAGUCACCUGACCCUGCCUAACUGCAAGGAGGCUGGGAAGAGUAGUCUCCUCCCAGGCAUGGGAGUAGGCCCUGCUAUUUGUGACGGAUAGUAAUGUCUACCCAGUGGAAGAAUUGCAGUAAAAGGACUAAAGCUCUUGUCAUGAGGUGGGGCUGCUGUGGCUGGCACUUUCCUACAGUUUUCUCCCUUUCUCCCCAACAGGGACCAUAUUGCAAGUUUAGCAUUGCCAACACGUGACAUCCACCUUGCAUGCAUGAUCAGCUACAUCUCUCCCUGAGAAUUUCUGCCAUGGGGCUCAUAUUGAGAGAGUGGGGAGCAGAGGGGAACAGAGGGGGACAGUUGGGGCAAUUCUUCAUCUGUCUCAUGCACCCAAUAAGGUCUUUUCCUAUUUCUAAGACUCAUUUAAAGUCCUGAUUUUGCUUAGACCACAUGGGUGGGUAUGUAGGAUUUUGAAAAGCUGCUGCCGAUUCCUCCAGCUCAUUUAGGAGCCAUCUGGAAGAGGCCUUAGGGCCAAGGCGGACGUGCUGUUUCCCCAGCCGCUGAGAGCUGUCUCUAGAGAGCAAAUACACACACAUUUAGGCUAUAAAUCACUUCUCUCAUUGGUGCUAAAUUAACUUUUAAGCCUUCUAAACUCCUGAACCAGCUGAUAGCAGGAUCCUGGGUGGCAGGAUGCUUAGCCCUCUGCUUGAUUAAAUAAAAAUUGUAUUUAUUGCAAGAUUUAAUGCAUGCAUUAAUAGAGGCAGCAGUGGUUCCCAAAUGCUGGCCUGUGGACUGGCUGAAUCAGAAUCACCUGGGACACGAGGUGAAAUACAGAUUCCCAGGCCCCACUUCAGAUCCACUGAAUUGGAAUCGCCUGGACUGAGGCACAGGAGUCCUUAUUUGAAUAAGCUCUUGAGGUCAUUUAGAUGCACAGCCAGGUUUGGGAGUCACUGCUGAUGUGGAA